AAUGGAUAAUUCAGAUACUCCAUUCCAGACUUCUGUGUUGUAUUUACCUGCCUUGGUGUUUUUAGCAGGGUACGAGCGGAGGAUGGGAGAUCCGAGUGGCCAUGAUUCUGAAGAAUCUUCAACAACUGAUCAACGGCAUUGUUCUUCACCUGACAGUCAGUGGGUACCUCCCCAUCAUCCUCAAACGCUACCUCCCUGUCGUCUUCAUAGGCUUCUCCCCUGUCAUCGUCCAAGGCAUCCUGCAAGUAUUCCUCCAACUCUAAUGAUGCUGUAAUGGACUGUGGGGAUGACAUGUUUUCAGUGUCGUCCACAUGGUUGUCCAUGUGGCUGUCAUGAAUCAGAUGAUCUGUGUCUAUCUUUUUGAGCACACGUUUAGCUGAUCCCCAGGAUCGGAGGUAUUGCCUUGAUCUUUCUUGCUUCUCAUCACUCAUUCUGUUGAGAAAUUUGUAGACUAUUUACUAUUUAACAAUUGUUGUGUUUUAGAUUGUAUCACACUCUGGGCAGCAAAGAUGACCUUAUUUCACUGGUUGCGCAAUAAAUGGAAACAUAAAUGUACAUGAAACACAAUAGCUGGCUUGCAGUGUCGUGAGACCUAAAGUAGCAAGCAAGCUUGUUCAGGGAAAUGUAAUUGUUGCUUGGCAACAGUACAGUCUGGAAACUGUAUGUGUUGGCAGAGACAAAUAAUUUAUUAAAUAUGCAGUAAAUCAUUUACAAUUAUUUACGGCACUCUUCAAAGAAGUUCCGGCCACUUGGCGUCAAACCUAGGAAGUUCUGGCCACUUGGCGUCAAACCUAGUUUAAGAAUGCACUUGAACGAGGGGAAUCAUCCACAACACUCGGGAGAGGUAAGUUGUUUCAUACAGAAGGAUAUGCUUGGUGUAGAUUAAUGGUGCCAUUGUCACAUAAAUAUUUGUUUAUCAGGUAUCAUGAUGUCGCGUAUUUGAAGGUUACCGCGAGUAACGUAAGGCUGAUCAGUACGUUAGCUCUAACGUUGACACCCAGCUCGCUAGCUCUAGCUUGUUCAUUCGCUCGCGCAAUUGCGUUUAGCCGUUAGCUCCGAGGUUAUAACUGUCAGAUUAGCAUAGGGAACCUGACCUUACCAAAUGGUUAUAGUAAGAAAAAUCUGAUUAAUAACUAAAUCUUUCACAUCCCCAUCAACGCUUAAAUACUUUACAUUUACAUGUACAACUACAUACUAGUACACCAGUGU